GCUUACGGCCAUUCCACCUUAGGCACGCCCAAUCUCGUCUGAUCUCGGAAGCUAAGCAGGGUCGGGCCUGGUUAGUACUUGGAUGGGUGACUGCCUGGGAAUACCAGGUGCUGUAAGCA
ensembl:rRNA 5S_rRNA 5S ribosomal RNA